AUUAGAUCGAAAUCAGCCAAUAGUAGUGAACACUAUAAUAUUAGUUCUAGUUUUAAUUUGUGUCAUGAAAGUCGUUUUAUGAAUGCUGAUGCCUCUGUUGUUAAUCACUUAGAAAAAAAGUUUAUUCGAGAAUGGUGAAGGCUUUGAGGAAGAAGACGAUUGAAACCUGUUUGAAAGUGAACAAUGAACAUUCUAUCAUGCUUUGUUUUCCGCAGAGCUUGACGGAUGCUAGACGAACGAAAUCUGAGGUUUACGAAAGGUUUCGCAUGUGUAUUGUGAUGAAUUGUCUCAUGUUACUUUCUAAACGCUAAUUUUUCUUUAACUUUGGUGUGAAUCUGUGAGUAUAUGCGAUUGUUUUAAAUUAGGUUGAUUGUUUAGUGAUAUUUUGAUUUUUUCUUCAUUUUUGUGGAUGAUUACUGUUGUGAUUAGAAAAUAAGUAUGAUAAUUAGGUCAUUAGAUAUGGAACCAUGAAAGGAUGAGAUAUUUUGUUACAUUAUGAUAACUGUAGUAUUAAAAAAAAUAUUAUGAUCUAGUUUUAGUAAAGAAGUCGUGUUCAUUGAAAACAUCCUUUCAAUAGAUAGUUUCAUCAUGAGAUACCUUCAAUUGCUGAAAAUUUAUUAACACAGAAGUUAUCUUGGUUAAACUAUGUAAUUAGCACUUUAUUGCUCAAAAGAGAUAUGUCACUGAUGUUGUCUGGGCUAUCUAAUCUUUUCUCUUGAAGCUAGUUUCUUUUGCUCUUAUUUCUGUCGACCCAAACCUGUUUCGAAAGGCAAACCAUACAGAAUUGAAUCAGUUUGAAAUCUGGGUUCAAUGUAUUAUUUAACUACCGGUUAUCCCAAACCGGUUUCAAAACUGUAUUCAAUGUAUAUAUGCUCAAACCUGAGGAUCGGACCGGAUUCGAACCAGCUUCAGAUCAGUUUAUUGGUUUAGUAUCCGGUUUCAGAUUCGGAUCCGGAUCCUGUUUGGUUGUGCACCUCUAAUUUGACUUAUGAUCUUAACAAAAAACUCUUAAACCAUUUGAGCCAGGCCGUUAACUGAACCAGUUGGGCAAAGCCUAAAAAACUGAAACCAAUCUUUGAAGCCCAAAUUUGAUGGGCCCACGUUUAAUUUUCUUUUGCAGAAAGCGAUUCUUCCAAGAAUUUCAUGAGUGGGAAUCCGUCAAGUUUCAAUGAUGUUAAAAGUCAACGAAUUAUUUAAGAAAAGGUUGAUUCCUGGUUGUGGUUGUUAAUCAAGGAGUAUUUGUAUAACUGCCGGAAGUCUAUUUCUGUAUUUUUCCGACGGGCCAUUGAGCAUUUGUUCCAAGCGAGAUGUCUGAUAGGUUUGGAGAAGUGGCGAGCGGGCCAACCCAAGACCCAUCUACCAACAGUAGCGACGCUGGCGAUUUCGAGUGCAACAUAUGCUUUGACUUGGCCCAAGACCCGAUCGUCACUUUAUGCGGGCAUCUUUUUUGCUGGCCCUGCCUUUACAAAUGGCUUCACCUACGUUCACAUUCUCAAGAAUGCCCUGUUUGUAAAGCCCAAAUUGAAGAAGGAAAGUUAGUCCCUUUAUACGGUAGAGGAAAGGACUCAACCACUCGAAGAUCAAGACCCAUUCCUGAUGACGAAAUCCCAAAUAUGAAACUGUCAGGAAAUUACGAGAGAAACCAUAUACGUGGAAUGACACGAGACGGUAAGAACGAUGCACCCACACUAAAACGGGCCGACAUUGGUAUUGCGGUUGCUGAUGCAACUGAUGCAACCCGUGGUGCAUUCAAUAUUGUGUUGACCGAGCCUGGGCUAAGUGUAAAUAUAUCCGUGAUAUAUUCUAUCACCUAACAUCUACAAGCUAUCAUUAUACAUUCAGAUCAUACGCAUAUAAUUUUAUGUAAACAUUUGCUGGUUAGACCAGUUAUUGGUAGCUUCUGACCCGCUUACUUUAUAUUCAUUUGAUAGUUAUUUGUGUUCCUCCUUUUCAAGACUGGUUUCUAAUGGUGGAUGAGCUUGUUGUUUCUGAUGGUGGAUGCUUGCAGGUUCGCUGGACCUCCUAGCCUUGUGCAGUUGGACCUCCUGGCCUUGUGCAACUUCCAGUUGCAGAUACGCUUACCUGGACAAAGUUGAUAACCAAUGUCGAGCUAUUGCCACCUAGAGCUGGUCAUACAACCGUUGCAUUGGGCAAGAACUUGCUUGUAUUUGGAGGUUUUACUGACGCUGAAGAUCUUUAUGAUGACUUAUAUAUGUUUGAUCUUGAAACGUGUAGAUGGACCAAUGUUAUUACUUUAGGAGUGGGCCCAUCUGCCAGAUUUUCUAUGGCAGGAAGCACUUUGCAUCCACAGCAUGGAGGCGUUCUUAUAUUCAUGGGAGGCUGCAAUAAGAGUCUCGAGGCACUUGAUGACAUGUUCUACCUACACGCAGGUUUUAUUAACUUUGUGAUUACGGGUCAAAGUCAUGUUGGUUGCCCAAGUCAUGUAAUUCGUUAAGUGUCAACAUCGGCCAUUGAAACCUGGAUUGCUCUUUCAGACUGCUUCAGUUGGACAUGCCUAAGUUUUCCUUUCUAAUAUAUCUUUCAGACUGCUUCAAUUGGACAUGCCUAAGCUUUCAAGGCACAGGUAAACUUAUUGAGUUUUUUUAGAUAAUCAAUGUUUUAAAUAUACUGUUAUACUAUAUUACUACUAUGAUAAUCUUGUCUUUUAAAUAAGAGUAAAGUACAUGGAUGGUCCUUGUGGUUUAUAUGCGUAUACGCUUACGGGUCUAACUUCUAAGAGCCGUGAAUCAUAUGCUAAUGCUGGCAUCAUUGCUGAACAGGUGAUCAUACCUUUGAAGUUUCCUCAAGUUUUUCCACUUUAAGUUUGUGUAUCUUGAUAAAAAUUAGUUAGUUACUUUAUGGUCAUCAAAUGGAAGCCUCUGUAAGUUGUGAAGUUCAAAUGGCAUCCUGGUGCCAUGAAUGGCUACAAGUGAUUCAUUAUUUAUUCAUGGAUAUAUAUUGUAUGGGCAUGCACAUGAUCUCCGGAUAAUGCUCUCAGUUCAAAUGGUAAUUUGUUCCUUCUUGAGCAUAUAGUUAACUGAUUAGUUUCAUAAAUUGUGAUUAUGCUGGCCAUUAAUAUUUCACUUUGCAUUGGUUUUAUUAGAUCGAAAGGUUGAACGUGAUUAUCCAAGAUAUAGUGAAAGAAAAAGAAGAAGAAAAAGAAAAAGAAA